rnacentral:rRNA from 1 species
AGGACGACGCUGGCGGCGUGCUUAACACAUGCAAGUCGAACGAUGAGAUCAGUGCUUGCGCUGGUUGAUUAGUGGCGAACGGGUGAGUAAUACGUGAGUAACCUGCCCCCUUCUUUGGGAUAAGCCUUGGAAACGGGGUCUAAUACCGGAUAUUCCUGUCUCAGCGCAUGUUGGGGUGGGAAAGUUUUGUCGGUGGGGGAUGGGCUCGCGGCCUAUCAGCUUGUUGGUGGGGUGAUGGCCUACCAAGGCGUCGACGGGUAGCCGGCCUGAGAGGGUGACCGGCCACACUGGGACUGAGACACGGCCCAGACUCCUACGGGAGGCAGCAGUGGGGGAUAUUGCACAAUGGGCGCAAGCCUGAUGCAGCGACGCCGCGUGAGGGAUGACGGCUUUCGGGUUGUAAACCUCUUUCGUUACCGAACAAGGCUCUGCUUUUUGGUGGGGUUGAGGGUAGGUGGAUAAGAAGCGCCGGCUAACUACGUG